rnacentral:sRNA from 1 species
CGCCGUCGCAGUCUGCGCCACCAUGCCGCCCUACACCGUGGUCUAUUUCCCAGUUCGAGGUAGGAGCAUGUGUCUGGCAGGGAAGGGAGGCAGGGGCUGGGGCUGCAGCCCACAGCCCCUCGCCAGCCCGGCGAGAUCCGAACCCCCUUAUCCCUCCGUCGUGUGGCUUUUACCCCGGGCCUCCUUCCUGUUCCCCGCCUCUCCCGCCAUGCCUGCUCCCCGCCCCAGUGUUGUGUUAAGUCUUCGGAGGAAGCUCUGUUUCCCUGUUCCCUCCCUGCACUCCUGACCCCUCCCCGGGUUGCUGCGAGGCGGAGUCGGCCCGGUCCCCACAUCUCGUACUUCUCCCUCCCCGCAGGCCGCUGCGCGGCCCUGCGCAUGCUGCUGGCAGACCAGGGCCAGAGCUGGAAGGAGGAGGUGGUGUCCAUGGAGACGUGGCAGGAGGGCUCACUCAAAGCCUCCUGCGUAAGUGACCAUGCCCGGGCAAGGGGAGGGGGUGCUGGGCCUUAGGGGGCUGUGACUAGGAUCGGGGGACGCCCAAGCUCAGUGCCCCUCCCUGAGCCAUGCCUCCCCCAACAGCUAUACGGGCAGCUCCCCAAGUUCCAGGACGGAGACCUCACCCUGUACCAGUCCAAUACCAUCCUGCGUCACCUGGGCCGCACCCUUGGUGAGUCUUGAACCUCCAAGUCCAGGGCAGGGAUGGGCAAGCCUCUGCCCCCGGAGCCCUUUUAUUUAAAUCAGCUGCCCCGCAGCCCUCUGGAGUGGAGGAAACUGAGACCCACUGAGGUUAUGUAGCUUGCCCAAGGUCAAGCCUGGGUGCCUGCAAUCCUUGCCCUGUGCCAGGCUGCCUCUCAGGUGUCAGGUGAGCUCUGAGCACCUGCUGUGUGGCAGUCUCUCAUCCUUCCACGCACAUCCUCUUCCCCUCCUCCCAGUCUGGGGCUCACAGACAGCCCCCUGGUUGGCCCAUCCCCAGUGAUUGUGUGUUGAUCAGGCGCCCAGUCACGCGGCCUGCUCCCCCCCACCCAACCCCAGGGCUCUAUGGGAAGGACCAGCGGGAGGCAGCCCUGGUGGACAUGGUGAAUGACGGCGUGGAGGACCUCCGCUGCAAAUACCUCUCUCUCAUCUACACCAACUAUGAGGCGGGCAAGGAUGACUAUGUGAAGGCAUUGCCCGGGCAACUGAAGCCUUUUGAGACCCUGCUGUCCCAGAACCAGGGAGGCAAGACCUUCAUUGUGGGAGACCAGGUGAGCAUCUGGCCCCAUCCUGUUCCUUCCUCGCCACCCUCUGCUUCCACAUGGACACAGGUGUGAGCCAUUUGUUUAGCAAAGCAGGGCAGACCUAUGGGAUGGGCUUAGGCCCUCUGCCCGCAAUUCCCCUAGCCUGCUUCCGCCAGCUGAGUCCCUGGCCCCCCUGCCCUGCAGAUCUCCUUCGCUGACUACAACCUGCUGGAUUUGCUGCUGAUCCAUGAGGUCCUGGCCCCUGGCUGCCUGGAUGCGUUCCCCCUGCUCUCAGCGUAUGUGGCACGCCUCAGCGCCCGGCCCAAGCUCAAGGCCUUCCUGGCCUCCCCUGAGCACGUGAACCUCCCCAUCAAUGGCAACGGGAAACAGUGAGGGUUGGGGGGACUCUGAGCGGGAGGCAGGGGCUGUUUGCCUUCCUUUCCCCAGGACCAAUAAAAUUUCUAAGAGAGCUG